GGUUAUAUGAAGAAAACAAACUCAUUGCUGAACUCUGUAUAGACAAGCCCAUAUACCAUGACUGUAAUGAUAGUAGGUUCAGUCAAAGUCUGGAGCUGAACAAUAAGACUGGAUCUCUCACCAUUAAAAACAUCAGGAAAAUCCACUCAGGGCCCUAUAAACUACAGAUCCCUGAAGGACCACAUAAAGUAUGUCAGAGAUAUCAUGUAACUGUCUAUGAUUCUCUGCCCUCUCCUAUCAUCACAAAUGAUUCUCCACAACGUUCUUCAUCAUUAGAUAGUAUAUCAAACUGCUCCUUCCUAUGUUCAGUGUUAAAUGUGACAGAUGUGACUCUCUCCUGGUACAAAGGAAACAGUUUAUUGUCCAGCAUCAGUGUGUCUGAUCUCAACAUCAGACUCUCUCUACCUCUGGAGGUUGAAUAUCAGGAUAACAACACAUACAGCUGUGUGGUGAACAAUCCCAUCACAAACAAAACUACACAACUUAACAUCAAAGAAUUAUGUAAUAUAGAUAACAGGCUGCAAUAUUUAGGUUUUAUUGCUGUUGUUGUCCCUUUGUUUGCUGUUGUUGUUAUUGCUUUUCGCUGUAAAAAGUUCCCAUGUCAAAAAGGCAAGUAACAUCAUACAGCAUGGACAGCAUAUGCACUAUAUGUAUAUCUGUAUAUUUUUGUUGUAAAAGAAAUUGUUUUUAAAGUAAAGUGCCAAAAAUACAUACCAAAGAUAUACUAGCCCAUGCUAAACUGAUUAGGUAAAUGUAGCUCUAUCUGUCAGACAGUUUAUGAUCUCAUGGUCAUUAUAAUGAGACUGAAUUUGUGUUUAACAGAUAAAAGUCAACCCAUGGUCACCUAUACCACUGCACAAGCAAACGGGGCACCUGCAGAGGACACCUCAAACAACAGACCUGAUGAAGAGAGACAUCUGUUUUGCAAUUCAUCACAGGAAUCCAUGUCCUCAAAUUAACCUUGCUGCAAAUGAGUCUUAGGCGAUUAUGCUUAAUAAUCUGAAAAGGUUUAGGUUUCAGAAGAAAAACAAAACUGCAAUCGUUCCCGUGUUUCGGACACAAUUUGUCAGAGAGCAUUGCUAGAGAAUGGAUAUAUUGUAUUGUGUGGACAAAUAAUUCUAAGUAGACAUGGGCCGGUAUUAGCAAAAAAAUUCCACGGUUUCACAUGUUGCGGUAUUGCCAUUGCAACACUAAAAUGUGUUAUUUGUGUAUAAUCAAUCACAUGACUUAAUGAUUUAAUUAGGGAUGCACCGAUACCACUUUUUUGGAAUACGAGUACGAGUACUUGCAUUUCAGUACUUGCCGAUAACGAUACCGAGUACUUAAUAAAAAAAUUAACAGGUUAAAUUUACAGGUAACAGCUUUAGUCAUAUCAUUUAACAAAAAAACAAGGGACUAGUUUUCCAGUUUGUUUUAAACUCCACCUCUUUGGACAACACAAGAGGCAUUAACCCCUUACACGCCGCUCAAACAUAGACAUUUCUCAGACCGUGGUAUCGAUCCCCGGUAACGGAGGUCUUUAAAUGAGUACGAGUACUUUAGAAAAUGUGGUAUCGAGGCAGAUACCCGAUACCAGUAUCGGUAUCGGUGCAUCCCUAGAUUUAAUGAAUUUUGUAUAAACACAGCUCAUACCUUGGAGACGGUAUCACAGAACAUUUUAGUGGUUAUAAAACCUUGCCUGUUUAAAACCUCUGUAUACCUUGAAACCGGCCUAUGCCUAAUGAGUCAUGGUCUGUUUCUUAUUGUAUAAGUUUAUCAUUAUUGAGAGCUAAACCAAGCAACAUUGCCAACUAAUUAAUAAUGUAAGUGGAUUCCUGCAAGUUCCUGUCUCACAGAUGAAAGAUAGGGAAGGCUAUUAUCCGG